ACAGAGGGUGCAAGCGUUAAUCGGAAUUACUGGGCGUAAAGCGUGCGCAGACGGUUGCGUAAGUCAGAUGUGAAAGCCCCGGGCUCAACCUGGGAAUUGCAUUUGAGACUGCGUAGCUAGGGUGCGGAAGAGGGAAGCGGAAUUUCCGGUGUAGCGGUGAAAUGCGUAGAUAUCUGGAGGAACACCGGUGGCGAAGGCGGCAUCCUGGACCAACACUGACACUGAGGAGCGAAAGCCAGGGGAGCAAACGGGA
rnacentral:rRNA from 1 species